UCAGAGACAGAUUACAACUGGAGAUGAUAUUUCAAUGGGAGAUAACAAUUUUGAAGACUCCCAAAGUAUCAAUAGUGUUAACUCUGAAGAAUUGGCUGAAAUUGUUAGGAAAGCAGAAGAAGAAGUUUUACAUCAAAAAUAAUAAGAUUCCCGACAAAAGAUGGUGGUGGGGUCUACUAGGACCAACUCUUACUGUAUGAUUUUGGAUUUUAGUUAUUCAAAAUUUCUAUAUAAGGAGACAUAGAUUUUAUUAGAGAGCAGGCUUUUAGAAACCCCUCUCUCUCUCAAAGAUUUC
rnacentral:lncRNA from 1 species